rnacentral:rRNA from 1 species
UGGGCGUAAGCGCGCGCAGGUGGUUUCUUAAGUCUGAUGUGAAAGCCCACGGCUCAACCGUGGAGGGUCAUUGGAAACUGGGAGACUUGAGUGCAGAAGAGGAAAGUGGAAUUCCAUGUGUAGCGGUGAAAUGCGUAGAGAUAUGGAGGAACACCAGUGGCGAAGGCGACUUUCUGGUCUGUAACUGACACUGAGGCGCGAAAGCGUGGGGAGCAAACAGGAUUAGAUACCCUGGUAGUCCACGCCGUAAACGAUGAGUGCUAAGUGUUAGAGGGUUUCCGCCCUUUAGUGCUGAAGUUAACGCAUUAAGCACUCCGCCUGGGGAGUACGGCCGCAAGGCUGAAACUCAAAGGAAUUGACGGGGGC